ACGUGGAUAGUCCAUAUUCUCAUGGGCUAAUCACAUAUCUAGAAAUUAGCUAUUUUUCCUCCAUGUUCCGCUUUCUUCUCAUAAUUUAGUCAUCUUCCCAACAAAUUAAAAAUUUGAAAUCCCACGUUUUGUGGAGUCGUGAUCUCUGAAGCAGUGUGGUUUUCUUGGCCUUCCUCUUCAUCAUUCACUGAAUAACACGAAACUGCAUGUGCCAUGGCCGGUCAUGGACGCAUUCCGCCUACCCCGCCUUCUCCUUCGUCCUGCGUUACUGGUGAGCCUGUUUACUCCUACCUGGACUAUCCAUUUCUAAACGGGUUAAACACAUCUCUUAUUUGAGUGUAUUUGUGUAUUUGGAUGGAUUACCCAGAUCCUUACGGGUCAAAACCCUGUUUUUAUUUUAACCACGUAUCUAUGUUUUAACUAAUUUUGCUUCAACUGCCUGAUUUCUCUCACAUUUGUAUUAUCUUCCUAUCGAUUUGAAUUUUGAAUUCUAUUAUUGGAGACGUGAUUGGAGGCCUGCGAUCUGAGAUGAGGUUUUGCAGUGUGUUGUUCGGCUUCGUCUUCGUCUUCUGAUCAUUCACAGCACCUCGAACUUGCAUAAGACAUGUCCGGUUUGUUUUCUAACUUUGAUUGUUGUUGAAUCCGCUUUCCGGUGAGAAGUAUUACGUGAUCUCCUCCGUUCUCGGAGCAGUUACAUGCCAUAAAUGAGAGGAAUUUGUAUUCACACUUCACUCGAUUACCAUUGUUUGAUUUUGUAAUGGAACGCGGAUAAUUGAUUAUGUUAUAGGUCUAAAUUUAAGGUUGUAUUCUUCUUCUUUUUCUUGCUUUGAUUUCUCUAAUAUUAUUGUUUUUAUUUGCAAGUAUUUAGUUGAUUUUUUUACAGGUCGUAAAUGUAUUUGGUAUUCAUCUUAAACAAAAAUUACUUAUGGUGAGCCGAUGGUAAAAAAUCUGGCAAUGCUUUUGAUGCAUAUUUGCGUAUCAGAUUGGUUAAUAGCAAAAUGUUGAGGUAACAUCUCCAGGCAAUAUGGGCAUCCUGUUGUUCGCCCUCCUUUCAGCCAGAGAUCACAAUUACAAUGACGUCAAUUUGCCCGCUUAUUUCCAAAUUCUCAACGGUUGUUUCUAACAUUUUUGACACUAUGACCCAUCAUAAGUUUAAGACUAUGUUGUUUCUACCUACAUUUACUCUUUGUAAGCUCUCUGCAUCUUUUUAUAUUCAUAAUUAUGGACAAGUUUCUAUUUUGAUACGCUAUUUAUAUUGCAGUUCAUAAUCCUUAUUCUGUUGUAGGUGAAGAUUUUAUUCAUAAUAGUGUGAUUGAGGUCAUUCUGUUUAAGAUUUUACAAUUCAGCCUGUUAUUUCACAAAAAUGGUUAUUUAUUCUUUGAGGUCAUCUCUCGAAUCAUUUCCUACUUUCAUUUAUAAGUCGUCAUUUUUUUAAGUGGCAGCCAUCCCAUCUCGGUGUAACUUACAUUUUCAAGUGGCAGAAUUUGGAUCAAAGUUUAUCACCCUGGCCGCAGUGUUGUGGUGUAGCCAGAAUCAUCAAACAAUACACACAAAAGUGCUGGUGUUUCUCUCAUGAGAAGGGUGUCUCAAACACGUUCUUAACCAUAAGUAGGCUUGGAUAUACUAUGAUGCUGCUUUGGAUAAGCUAUUGUAUUAGGCAAGCUAUUGUAUUAGGCAGGUCGUUGGCUGCCGUCUUUGAUUUCUACAUAAAACUCUAAGAAUAGAUUAAAUAGUGAUUUUUACAAGUCAGAAGCGAACCCCGCUCUAUCCAUUAUCUCCAUUCUCAAUGGAAGUGACCAAGUCAAGAUAAAUAGCAGAUGAUGUGAAGAACACAAGCAGAGUUUCACAGCCAAGUUGGCGAGGAGCACACGGCUGAACAGCAACAACCAGAACAAGAGCUAUCAGCACACCGUGGUGAGUACAUUAGUGACGACAAGGAUGAAAAUGUCCAAGAAAUCCUAGAUUUGUGGAGCAAGAUGGAUCAUGUCAAAUUUGGGUUUAUAGUAAUUGAUGUGAAAUAGGUUUACUAUUGUGAUUCAUUUUACUGGCUUAAAACACCUGUUGGUGAGAGUGUUGCUCAUCCAUUUCUGUAGUUUGACAAUAAUUAGAUUGGAACAAUUACUUGGUAUCAAACAAUGGCCAAGUGCUUACUAAGAAGGUUUGUCAUUCCUCCACUUGAAUGUGUUUCAUAUCUGUUUUAGUAUACUGUUGUAGGAUAAUCUUUAUGUUUCAUUCAUUAAGCAUUUUGCCAACUCCUACUUAAGCAUUUUGCCAACUCCUACAGGAAGAAAGUGCUAAACGCCCUAAAACCAAAAACUAAAAAACAGAAGCAUGGAGUCUUUGCCUCUUUACUCUUUAGUUACAAAAUUUAGCACCAUAUGUGGCUUCUUUCUUUCUGCAAUUUUGGCGAUAUAUUAUUUUUAUAUUUAUUCUCUGUACAAAAAUUUGUACUUGGGUUUUUUGUUGGUUUCACGGCAGCUCUCAUACUUAGGCUGAUUUUGUUUGUACAAAGUCGUCAAAUUAUAGAGGAGGGCAACAAGCAGUACAUGGAAAUAACAUCUUUUAUGGGCAAGAUCAUGAAGUUGAACCGUGUACAUAGAUGGUAAACACGGAAAAAAAUUGUGAAAAAUACGAGAUUAUGUUAAUUCCAGUGUUGGUGAUAACAAUGUUGUUGAGAUUGGACAGAGUGGUGACACUCCUGUUUACCAUAAGGCUUGCAGCAAAAAAAAUAAGAUGUACAGAAACAACUGUAAAUGCCACCUUCGUUUUGCUAUGAGUGUUGUGUGAAUUAAGCAUCUUGCACAUCUUUUAUUACGACGUGCAGGAGGUCUGAGUCCUGCAACUGGUAAUGGUGUUUAGUGUUUUUCUUUUCAACUGAGUUCUCAAUGGCUUUGCGAUGGUCCGCAGAAGUUUUUCUUUGAUGUUUUUUGUUGGUUUGUUUGGACUGUUUCCACUCAUGAAUAAAACUAUAUCUUCUGAUUUUCUGAA